UGCCUAACACAUGCAAGUCGAACGGCAGCACAGUAAAGAUUUCGGUCUUUAUGGGUGGCGAGUGGCGGACGGGUGAGUAAAGCGUAGGAAUCUGUCCUGGAGCGUGGGAUAACCCGAGGAAACUCGGGCUAAUACCACAUGAUAUCGAGAGAUCAAAAGCAGGGGACCGAAAGGCCUUGCGCUCUGGGGUGAGCCUACGUCGGAUUAGCUAGUUGGUGGGGUAAAAGCCUACCAAGGCGACGAUCCGUAGCUGGUCUGAGAGGAUGACCAGCCACACUGGGACUGAGACACGGCCCAGACUCCUACGGGAGGCAGCAGUGGGGAAUCUUGGACAAUGGGGGAAACCCUGAUCCAGCGAUGCCGCGUGUGUGAAGAAGGCCUUCGGGUUGUAAAGCAC
rnacentral:rRNA from 1 species